rnacentral:rRNA from 1 species
GAUGAACGCUAGCGGCAGGCCUAAUACAUGCAAGUCGAACGGGAUCCAGAUCAAAGCUUGCUUUGGUUUGGUGAGAGUGGCGUACGGGUGCGUAACGCGUGAGCAACCUACCCUUGUCAGGGGGAUAGCCCGGCGAAAGUCGGAUUAAUACCGCAUGACAUCAUUGAGAGGCAUCUUUCGAUGAUCAAAGAUUUAUCGGACAAGGAUGGGCUCGCGUGACAUUAGCUAGUUGGUAAGGUAACGGCUUACCAAGGCUACGAUGUCUAGGGGCUCUGAGAGGAGAAUCCCCCACACUGGUACUGAGACACGGACCAGACUCCUACGGGAGGCAGCAGUAAGGAAUAUUGGUCAAGGGACGGAAGUCUGAACCAGCCAUGCCGCGUGCAGGAAGACGGCCCUAUGGGUUGUAAACUGCUUUUAUACGGGAACAAACGUCGGUACGUGUACCGGUCUGAGUGUACCGUAAGAAUAAGGAUCGGCUAACUCCGUG